rnacentral:rRNA from 1 species
CCAAUAGCGUAUAUUAAAGUUGUUGCAGUUAAAAAGCUCGUAGUUGAAUUUCGGGGUCAAUAUAUCGGUCGUGCCAUCGGUACGUACUGGUAUCAUUGGUUUCUCCUUUCUGACGAACCAUGAUGUCAUUAAUUUGGUGUUAUGGGAAGUUAGGCCUGUUACUUUGAAAAAAUUAGAGUGUUUAAAGCAGGCUUUAGCUUGAAUACAUUAGCAUGGAAUAAUGAAAUAGGACGUUCGAACCUAUUUUGUUGGUUUCUAGGAUCACCGUAAUGAUUAAUAGG